UCGGAUCAAUGAUCAUCUGCCAAGCAAUUUCUGUUCAAAACAAACGUCAGUCAAUUAGCUAAUUGUUUUCUGUGAUUUUCUUUGGUUUUUUUUUUGAUAAAAAUGGACGUUAAACGUUUGCGGGUAUCGACAUGCCCGACGGAUCGGCAUUCUCAUCUCAAUAGGGUGAUCAUAAAUCCGAAAGUGUUUCCAAAUGCAAGGCAUUUGGAGAUUACGAAUCAAUACUCAAAGAAAUUCAUUUUCACCAUCACGCCUGUUGAUGGUUAUAAUCCAGAAGAGAUUGGAUUCAAUGCUCCAAUGAGAAAAUGGGCGGAAUUGAUGAGAGACUCCUAUGUGGAAGUGAGACCCUUUAAUUUUGAUAUGCGAUCUCAAUGCAUCUCACUCAUCACCCUGGAGAUCGAUAUUUUGAUGAAAAAUGCAGUUUCUUCCGAUGUUUAUGACACUGACGAUAUGGCAAUCUCAUUUUCGCAGCAAUUUGCUGACCAGUCUUUCACUGUCGGUCAACAGUUGGCGUUUAAAUAUGCUGAUAAAAAGCUCCUACAAGUAGUGGUCAAAGAGAUCCAAGUUUUAGACGUUGCCUCUAUCGCGGGUGGUUCUGAGAAAUCAGUACAAAAAGUUAAAAUCGGAGUUCUUUCAGCUAAUUCGACCAUCAUUUUUGUUGAAGGUCCUGAUUCAGGUAUCAAAUUAAAAGGCAAAUCAAAAGCGGGCUCAUCUCAACAAUCCCUUAUCAGUCCAAAUUGGGAUUUUGAAACUUUAGGAAUCGGUGGUUUGGACAAGGAAUUUAAUGAUAUCUUCCGAAGAGCUUUCGCCUCUAAAGUUAUUCCAUUGGAAUUAGUUGAACAACUUGGAUUAACUCAUGUGAAAGGUAUUCUACUUUAUGGUCCCCCAGGUACUGGUAAAACAUUGAUCGCUCGUCAGAUUGGAUCGAUGUUGAAUGCGCGACCACCUAAGGUUGUUAAUGGUCCUUCGAUCCUUGAUAAAUAUGUUGGUGAAUCAGAAUCAAAUAUUCGUAAAUUAUUUGCUGAAGCUGAAGCUGAAUACGCUAAGGUUGGAAAUCGAUCAGGUCUUCAUAUCAUAAUUUUCGAUGAGAUCGAUGCCAUUUGCAAACAAAGAGGAUCGGUAGCUGGUGGGGCAGGAGUACAUGACAGUGUUGUUAACCAAUUGUUGACAAAAAUAGAUGGUGUUGACAGUUUGAAUAAUAUUCUAGUCAUCGGAAUGACCAAUCGAAAGGAUCUCAUUGAUGAAGCUCUUUUACGUCCUGGAAGAUUUGAGGUGCAAAUAGAAAUCAGUUUACCUGAUGAAAAAGGUCGUGAGCAAAUUUUGAAAAUCCACACAAAGAAAAUGAAAGAAAAUGGUAGACUAGCUGAUGAUGUCGACAUUCAGGAGCUCGCAGCUAAAACUAAAAAUUUCUCUGGUGCUGAAUUGGAAGGAUUGGUUCGCGCGGCUCAAUCAGCUGCUAUGACAAGAAUAAUAAGACCAAAGAGUAAGGUUGAAAUCGACUCUGAAGCAUUAAAUAAACUGAUUGUAUGUCGAAGUGAUUUCCUCCAUGCCCUGGAACAUGAUGUGAAACCUGCGUUCGGUGCAAGUUCUGAAGAAAUUGAAGGUUUCUUCGAAAGAGGAAUAAUCAAUUGGUGUCCACAGAUCGAAGCUCUUUUGGAGGAAGGAGAUUUGGUCAUUGGAAUGGCCAGUAAUCCACGAACACGUCGAGUUGUUCCCAUUUUCCUUGAAGGCUCAUCAGGUGCUGGUAAAUCGGCUUUGGCUGCAACCAUCGCGAAAAUGUCAAACUUCCCCUUCAUGAAAUUAUGUUCACCUGAGCAAAUGAUCGGCUGUUCAGAAUCGGCUAAAUGUUCCAUGAUUCGUAAAAUUUUCGAUGAUGCAUAUAAAUCUCAUUUGAGUUGUGUUAUUGUCGAUCAAAUUGAAGAGCUGAUUGAUUUCACACCGAUUGGUCCACGUUUUUCCAACUUAGUUCUCAGAGCUCUCAAAGUAUUGAUUAAUAAACAACCACCUAAAGGUCGUUUCAUGCUGGUUCUAUGUACAACCAGUAUGAUUGGUGUUCUAAAAGAACUCAAUCUAACUACAGAUUCAUCGAUAAUCAAUGUACCCGAAAUGACUGAAGUUGAACAUCUUUUAUUUGUUAUACAAAAACUUUCGGAGGCAAGUGGAAUUCAGAUCUUCAACAAACAAGACUAUCACUACCUUGAGAAAAAAUUGCGACAAUGUCGAAUUAAAGUCGGAAUCAAAAGAUUUAUCCAAAUCUACGACAGUUAUGACAAUGAAAAAGAUUAUGAUCCAGGUGAUCGAGCUCACCGAUUUUUCCAAUCACUUCAGUCUAAAGGAUGUGUCAUUCCGAUGUAGAAUCCAGAGUUUAAAUUAUAUUAUUAAUUAUGUUUCGAUUGGAAUCCAAUCAUCAAUUCCACUUGCACUUUUUUGGGUUGUUACUUUUUUUCGUUAUGUGUGUAUAUCAAUGAAUAUGCGACAAAGGCCCGAGCUUUUUAGUUGCACAACCAUUUGAUUUUAAUCAAAAAAUUACUCUUAAUUGCGCUUAAUCUGCAAAGCAAUUAGUGUGUGUUGUUAAAAAAAAUAGAUGAACUAAACUAAAUAAUCAUUAAUCCAAUUUUAACGAUCAUUCCAAAAUAUUUUGGUGUUGGAAUGGAAUCAAAAAGCUCGAUAAUCAUCAAUUUUGCUUUUUUUCUCUCCCUCAAUUGGUGAAGAAUUAAAAUGAAGGUGGCAAAUGGAUGAGGAUGGAGAUGGAGAUGGAGACCAAAAGAAGGAGGAAAAAUAAAACUCAAGGAAAAUUAGGAAAAUAAGAUGAGUGGCAUGUGAGAUGAUGAAUAGUGAGUUCUUUAUGAGUAUAAAGUAGCCUAGAAUUGGGUUGAAUAUUAUGAUAAAAAUUGUGAGAUAUCUCAAGAAUUUGUCCAAUAUAAACUUAUUUUCUUUUGGAACCUUUGCUUUUGUUAAUUGACAAAAGGAAUCACACAAAACAUUAUCAUUAUUAACGAUAACUUAUCUUCUUUAUCUCUUUUAUCUGCUUCUUCUUCCUUAUCCUUCAUCUUUUUUGCUUCUUCUUCUCUUCUUCCUUCUCGAUUCGCAUCCUCAUCAUCAUCAUCAUCAUCACACCUUAUUAUCGAUAUGAGAUAAUAAUAAUGCUCCGCCUUCAAUUCAAUUCCUCAAUUUAAUCAACUCAAGAAUCAACACUCAUCCCAGUUUCUUACUCCCAGGGCAACUUUUUUUUCCUCAACAUUUUCAUUCAGAUUAAAAUUGUUCUUUUCUUUUAACCUUCAA